CAGUCGCCACGGGAACACGCAGGUGGCAAGCGUUAAUCGGAAUUACUGGGCGUAAAGCGUGCGCAGGCGGUUCUAUAAGACAGAUGUGAAAUCCCCGGGCUCAACCUGGGAACUGCAUUUGUGACUGUAGAGCUGGAGUGCGGCAGAGGGGGAUGGAAUUCCGCGUGUAGCAGUGAAAUGCGUAGAUAUGCGGAGGAACACCGAUGGCGAAGGCAAUCCCCUGGGCCUGCACUGACGCUCAUGCACGAAAGCGUGGGGAGCAAACAGGAUUAGAUACCCGUGUAGUCCCUGUCUCUUAUAC
rnacentral:rRNA from 1 species